rnacentral:ncRNA from 1 species
UAGAAAGCGUUGAUAGGGACAGUAGUUUCUCUUACCACUUAUAAAAGCGAAUCGGGGACGGUGUAAGCCCGGUAUAAGGAGAGAAAUGAACAUCACCCUGGAGCACUGGACUGAAGGCGGCCCGCUUGUAAGUUCAGUCGUCACAUUCACGUUACGAAUGCUAAAGUGGACCGGAUUCCUGUUAGAAUGGCAGGCUGGUCAAUUUAGGGUGGUACCACGGGAGAUUCUCUCGUCCCUUUU